CACUGGGGCAGCCUCAGCUUGACUGCUGUGUGAAGUAUUGUGUACCACAAUACAAAAAAAGCAUCAAGCUAUUAGAGACCAUCCAAAGGAGGGCCACAAGGAUUGAUGGAAUGUCUGGAGGGAAAGCCUUAUGAGGAGCCACUGAGGUCACUUGAUGUGUUCAGCCUGGAGGAGACUGAGUGGAGACCUCAUUGUAUCACAGUUACAGCUUCCA